rfam:Pedobacter nyackensis strain DSM 19625 genome assembly, contig: Ga0070598_103
UCGUGGGUGACUGCGAAUCUGAAGGAAGUCGGCGGCAAAUAUGGGAGCCCACGAAGAGGAACUGUAUAUAAGGCGGGAUAGUGUGGAUGAUGUUGCAAUACAAACAGAAGUCCAAUACUGCAAGGAUACUAUUACGUAGAUACAGGGGCUACAUCCAUAGAAAGUAGAUUGU